rnacentral:rRNA from 1 species
AAGAGAGCCGUAACACAGGUGCUGCAUGGCUGUCGUCAACUCGUGUCGUGAGAUGUUGGGUUAAGUCCCGCAACGAGCGCAACCCUUGUCAUUAGUUGCUACAUUCAGUUGGGCACUCUAAUGAGACUGCCGGUGACAAACCGGAGGAAGGUGGGGAGUGACGUCAAGUCCUCAUGGCCCUUAUAGGUGGGGCUACACACGUCAUACAAUGGAUGGUACAAAGGGUCGCCAACCCGCGAGGGGGGAGCCAAUCCCAUAAAGCCAUUCGUAGUCCGGAUCGCAGUCUGCAACUCGACUGCGUGAAGUCGGAAUCGCUAGUAAUCGUGGAUCAGAAUGUCACGGUGAAUACGUUCCCGGGUCUU